CAUUACGGCCGCACUUUUUUUUUUUCUUCUAGUUAUUUGUUUCUUCUUCUACGGUUCUUCCUCAGUUUUAAGCUUCUUUCUUCUUUUUCAAUUCUCAUAGCCUUUUCUUCUUCAUCGAGUCUCUUCGCCAAGCCAUGCGAGAAGAAGAACAUUGAGGAUUUCAUCGUGAACAUUGGAUCCGGUGGUGGCGGUGCUGCCGUUGUAGUUGCUGCUCUCGUCGCAGUUGCGCUCCUACUGGCGGUGCUAUAGGCGCCGCUGCAACUGCCCCUGCUGUCGAAGAAAAGAAGAUCUGAGAUCGGCCCUCCAUUGAAUGGAUUCAAAUCUCAUCUGCAGAAAAAGUUUAGAUUUCAACAACAAUGUAAAAAUAGAUUUUUGAGGGAGAGAGAUAGAAAUAGGGAGAGGCUUAUGGUGGUGGUGGAGGUUGAGAUUUAUACACGCACAAGACAGAGUGAAGGGGAAUAAAGUAAUGUUUUAUGGUGGCAAUCAUUAUGAUUAAAUUAUAUGCAUUGUCGGUUUAAUUAUUCAUUAUUACUAUUCAACAUUGAAAGAAUAAAGUAGUGUGGGCAUAGCGCAUCUGGUAUCCUUGAUCUGGCUGUCAUGUAAUGAUAAGGUAAAUGUAACAUAUGCAUUUUUCUCAUGGGGUAAAAUCGAUCCAUUUUUACCUCC